rnacentral:misc_RNA from 1 species
CGGUAGCGGUGGGUGCACGAAGCCUAAGACGGUAGAGACAUCGCCGUUGGUGGAAGCGGAGACCAGUGUAGAGGUGUCGAUAAUAGAGUGCGAUGCAUUGCUAGAGAUACAAUGUGGGUACAGAGAAGGGCUGUUACUCGAUAUCAUGCAAAUGCUUCGGGAAAUUCGGAUAGAAAUCACAGCAGUUCAGUCUUCUUUGAAUAAUGGAGUGCUUAUGGCUGAACUAAGGGCUAAGGUAAAAGACAAUGCUUACCUUCUUUCCAGCAACAUU